UCAAUGGACACAAAAUUGCCCUAAUCUCCUUUGCUCGACGCCUCGACCUCUCUCUCCGCUGAGUCCACUGAUAACUGAUCCACUCUCCCAUCUGAACUCCAGUGACCUCACGGAAGCAACCAUAUACCGAGUCUACUGAGUGACUACCACGGCACCACCAGGCACCAACGCCGGUCUACACUCUCAAUCUCCCAUGAGUCGAUCUUCCUCUCGAUUCUUGCUCGAUCUAUCCACUCUCCCGUCUCACUGAGGACUGAAUUCUAGUGACCUCAUGGAGGCAACCAUGUACCGAGUCUACUGAGUGACCACCAGACACCAACGCCGGUCUACACUCUCAGUCUCCCAUGAGCCCAUCUCCCUCUUGAUUGUUGUUUUGAGCUUUCUUUCUACUGAGCUUUCUACUGACUAGCCAGCCUUAAAUUAUUGAACUAGUUGAUCGAGAAUUAGUUGUAUUAGUUGAAUUUGUCGAAUUAGUAGAAUUCUUGAAUUAUAUUCUUAAACCAUGUCUUAUACACUGUAUUAAACUCUGUCUUCUUUGCAUGUGUUAUACUCUGUCUCUGUCUCUGUCUUAUACUCAUAUAAAUGACUAAAUAUCCUGUAUAUGUCAUUUGGUGUUAUGCUCUUUCUCAUACAACUAGCUCGUCAUUUUGGUCUUGCUCUUUUAUUAUUUAUUAUACGUACAGUUGGAAAUUAUGUCAUUUGGUAUUAUGCUCUUUCUUAUCUUAUACUCUGUCUCAAUCUUAUAUUCUUAUACAUUUCAUAUACUCUGUCAUUUUGUCUUAUGCUCUAUAUCUAUCUAAUACAUUCUUGCAGCAACGUCUGAAAUAAUAUGACAUGUAAUUCCAAUCCUGAAUGUUCAUCCCAAACCCCAAGUGCUAGUGACAGUAACAAAAAUGUAAGGGGGAAAAGUGAUCCAGCAUGGAGGUAUUGUAAGCAUGUGCAGGAAAACAAUUUUGUUGGAAGACCAAAGAAUAUAAUUAUAUGUAUGUACUGCCUCAAAGAGAUUAAAGGUGGUGGAAUUAAUCGUUUCAAAAUCCAUUUAUCUGGAGUUAGUGGUCAAGGAGUUGAGAGAUGCAAGAAGGUUCCUGUUGGGGUUCAAAAUGAAAUGUUGCAAAAUGUUACAUCUUACGGGAAUAAAAAAGGCUAUCUCAUGAUCGUUAUGAGGAUCAAUAUGGAGAUGGUCCUACAGCUGAAGAUGAAGAAGUUGAAGAAGCGAUAUGCAAGAGAACAAACACUGGAAAAAAUGGAAGAAGACAAGCGUUGAUAAUCCUAUAAAUUCUUACUUCAUAUCCAGGACGACUCCUGGAUCUCAACCAACCAUCAAAAGUGUCUUGCAAUCUCAAGAGGCAAAAGAAAAGGUGGACCUUGCCAUUGUCAAGUGGAUGAUAGAUGCAUCAAUUUCAUUCAAUGCCACUAACUCUAAACUUUAUGAAUUGAUGAUUGAUGCAAUAACAAGUAUAGGACCAGGUUAUAAAGGUCCUACUAUUCAUGCUGUUCGAGUUAAAUUGUUGGGUAAAACUGUGGAAGAGGUGAAGAUGGUAGUGAAUAAUUUUCUCAACAUUUGGAAUGUUAUUGGCUGUACAAUCAUGUCUGACGGUUGGACAGAUCAAAAUAACAGAACCUUAAUCAAUUUCUUAGUGUAAUGUCCCAAGGGAACAAUCUUUUUGAAGUCCAUUGAUUCAGAAGCUUCUAAGACCAGUCAGUUGUUGUUCAAUUGUUCAGGGAAGUUGUGCUAGAUGCGGGGGUGGAAAAUGUGGUACAGGUGGUCACGGAUAAUGCCUCAAAUUAUGUCAUUAUUGGUAGGUUACUAGAAGAUGAGUUUCCAACAUUAUCUUGGUCUCAUUGUGUAGCGCAAAGGAUGAGUUGAUUAGGAGGUUUCAGAGAAAGAAGAGAAGGGUCCAACCAUUAUUGUUAAUUGUAGAUUCUCAGUGGGACAGUCAAUUGUACAAGAAUCUCUAUGCUGUUGGUUUCUAGUUGAAUCCUAGUAACCAAUACAACAUUGAAGAGAUGACAAAGCAUAGAGACAUAGAAUCUGGUAUCUUGGAUGUGAUUGAGAAAUUCUGUUAUGGAGAUAUGGAUUUGAGUGGUAAGUUGACAUCAGAGAUGAGGAUUUUCGUAGACGUUGAAGGAGAUUUUGGGAGAAAGUCUGCCAUAAAUUACUGAGACAAAAUGGUUCAUGCUGAGUGGUGGAGAUACUAUGGAAAUUAUGCUCCUAAUCUUCAAAAGUUGACUAUGCGUAUGCUGAACCAAACUUAUAGUUCCUCAGGGUGCGAGAGGAAUUGGAGUAUUUUUGAGCACAUCCACU